ACCACACCCACCUUAUCUCCUCACAUGUGCACAUAACCUUGAGGAGGGCAUCAGCCCAUUCCUGCACACCCUUAUUCUGAACCAAAUGUAACCCCCACUCCCUUCCUAGGCGUUGAAUGGUUGAACCAAGAAGAACACAAAUUGUCUAUCUUCCUCUUAAUUCUGAAACCGAACUCAGCCUUUUCCUGCACCCUCCACCGUUAAAAAUAAAAGAAGAAAAACAGAGGGGUACUAAGCUUAAAUCGUUUUCACCUUAUAUUCCCACAAAACCGUAACCUUCAAUCAGCUAAAUUCCCAUUCGCUCUCAUUCUGACUCAGUCUUAGAGCAACUACGGAGGAGAUUACCAUCUCAAUUCAUUCUUUAUUUUUCUCUAGCUUGGCCGAGGAACUAUCUUAGGAGGGGAAGUAUUCCUUGCUUUCUUUUAGCUCCCUCUUGCUUGGAACGGUUCUAAUUGAGUUUUUCCACCGAAUGAAAUUGGUCCAGCCUUGAUUGGGUUUCUUCUUCCCUUGCAUGCAGAUGGGUAGCUCGGAUUAUUGCAAGGAGGAGGGUGAGGGUACCGCUCUUCUUUUGGGUGAUGCCUUUGGACCGGUUGUGAGCACUUUGGUGUGUACGAAGAGCUGAAGAGUGUAGGCCAUAGACGCAUGCCAGUUUAGGACUCAAAUUUUAGCUUGUACCGUAGCCCCCUUGUGAAGUUGUGGGACUGUUUUGGUGGAAUUUAUUGUGUAUCAAACCUGUAUUCCUUUCCCCUUGGGGCGCACUGCCAGCAGUGUAGGAGAAGACAAAAACCAUGUUCAGCAGAAUGGGAAAGUGAAGGAACUCACACAACACUCGAUUUCUGCCCUAGUUGAUUUGGGAAUUCUAAGUGACUACAAGUAGAUGUGCACAAGUUCUUAGAUAAUGGGACGGUUCGAUGAUGUUUGGAAUGCUUGAUUUAAAAGUAAAGUGCCAAGGUUCUUACAUUUCCUGGGGCGAUAUUUCCCUUAUGACGCGCAGUAAAGGAAAUAGGGGGAGUUUGAUCAACUGGUGCAAGGCUCGUUGAUUGUGGACGAGUACUUGCUAAGUUCAAUGAACUGGCCUAAUUUGCACAUUUUCGUAUUGUUAUGCCAACCCUGACGUUUCUAGCUUCAAAGUUUCAUAGGGGACUUAAUGAGGAGAUAACUGAUCACAUUGUUGGUGCUACAUCUAGAGAUUUUGGCACGUUGGUUCAGCAGUGCCGUGACAUUGAGGAGGUUUGCAUAGUGAGCAAGGCCAAGAGGGCCAAGGUAGCUGAGAUUAAGGGAACCAGUGGUUCCACUUCCUAGAGAAAUAGAAAGCAUGGAGGUAAAGGUAAGGGGAAGCAGUUGGUGCCUAGGCAGGCGCCAAAUCAGUUCAAGAGGAAUUCGGCUCAAGGGAGUGCAGCUAUACCUCCUACUCCUAGAUGUUCGGGAUGUGGGAAAUUUCAUGUUGGGUCGUGUGCCACCAACAGGUCAUUUGUUUUCAUUGUGGCAAGGAGGACCACUAUGCCAGAGAUUGUCCAUCGUCUACUGCGAGAGCUGCAGCGGUUCAGGCGAUCCCAUUGCAGAUGAUUCCUACUGCGCGUACAGCGGCACCUGUUGUGCCACCUACCACUGGUCGAGUUUACACUUUGUAUAGACAGCAGUCGGACAGAACUCCGAACCUUGUUCGAGGUACCAUUUCUGUUGGUGGUUCUGCUGUUGAUGUGUUAUUUGAUUCCGAGGCUACGCAUUCUUUCAUCGCCCCCCGAUUGCUGCGGGGCUUGAGUUGCCCAGUUUUGUGCUUUCUCCACCGUUGCGGGUGACCACCGCCACCUGAGAAAAGUGUGAUACCUCCGCUUGACAUCGAGAUGUCGUGUUUCAGUGGGAUGACCGUGAGUACUCGGUAGAUCUGACAGGAUUGUCGAUGGCUAAUUUGGAGAUCAUCCUUGGCAUGGACUGGUUAUCCAAGAAUUGUGUGAUGAUUGACUGUUGUUCAAAGCGCGUGGUGAUGUCUCAAUGUGAUUCCACAGCCAGUUCCUUGCCUUAUAUUUCAGUGCUGCAGGCUAGGAGAGCCUUGAGAGCAGGGGCAUUUGGAUAUGUCAUGUUGGCAGGUUUGGUGAGUGGGACACAGGAGAAUAUCACUGGCAUUCCUAUGGUGAGGGAAUUCCUCGAGGUGUUUCCUGAGGAGAUUCAUGAGUUUCCGCCACAGAGGGAGAUAGAGUUCUCCAUUGACCUAUUGUCUGGUCUGGGGCCUAUUUCUUUAGCUCCAUACCGGAUAUCUCCACCAUAGCUAGCUGAGCUGACGAAGCAUAUUGAGGAUCUUUCGGUGAAAGACUUCAUCCGACCGAGUGUGUCUUCAUGGGGAGCACCGGUUAUUUUUGUUAAGAAGAAAGAUGAGACUAUGAGAUUGUGCACCGAUUACAGACAGCUGAACAAGGUGGAAAUCAAGAACAAGUAUCCCCUCCCUCGUAUUGAUGAUGUGUUGGAUCAACUUAGGGGUGCUUGCAUGUACUCGAAGAUUGAUCUCCGAUCCGGAUACCAUCAGAUUCGGGUGAAGCCGGAGGAUGUCCCUAAGACAGUAUUUCGUUCGAGAUACGGUCACUAUGAGUAUUUGGUGAUUCCGUUUGGACUCACCAAUGCGCCCGCAGUGUUCAUGGAUUACAUGAACCGUAUUUUUCAGCCUUAUUUGGAUCGGUUUGUGAUCAUCUUCAUUGACGAUAUCUUGAUUUACUCAAAGAUGGAGGAAGAGCAUGCGGAGCACUUGAGGAUCGUGUUGCAAGUGCUGAAGGAGAAAAAGCUUUAUGCUAAGCCUUCGAAGUGUGAGUUUUAGAUCAAGUCAGUGAAGUUCCUUGGGCAUGUGAUUUAUGAUGAGGGAGUUGCAUUGGAUCCUAACAAGAUUGAGGUCAUGUUGGAUUGGGAGAGGCCCAAGACGGUUACAGAAGUUAGGAGUUUCUUGGGUUUGGCUGGUUAUUACAGGAUGUUCAUUGAGGGAUUCUCCAAGAUGGUUUUUCCUUUGAAUCGCCUUACCCGGAAGGAGACUCCAUUUGUGUGGAUUCACGAGUGUGAGGAAUGCUUCAGGAGUUGAAGGAGAUAUCCUUCCAAAGGUUGGUUUUUUAACCCAUUCCAACGUCCAAGCAUGCAUUUUUACACUUUUUUAGGUUCAUAUACAGGGUGGUUACUUGUUUAAUUCAUUAAACAUGCCAAUACAUAUCUUUUAAUCAUUAAAACUCAUGAUCAAAGAUUGGGAACACUUACCCAAGCUCAAAACAGCCAACCAAAGGUGCUCUUGGAGCUCACAAGUCAGCUCCAAGAUACUGACUUCAAGGGUGCACGAAAAUGCACUACAAGGUGGGUCCUAUCUUCACAAAGAUGACCACUUGGAGCUCCCACAAACAAGACAAGGCUCCAACAACCCAAGCAAGGAACUCAGCCCCAAAACUCUUCCCCAAACAGUACCCUCAACUCAGCAAAACUGAACCUCACCGUCCCAAGACACCCACUCAAGUGUUUACAAGGAGAAAGUGUGAAGAAUUAAGCAAAAGAUGGCAACUUGGCUCACAGGAGGUGGAGGAAGACAAUGGAACAGUGUUUCUGGUCAGCCACCAAAGAGUCUCACGUAGGAAUGCAUACAUGCCUAGGGUUUUGUGCUAAAAUGCAUAUAUAUACCCACUUAAGAAUUAAACACACAGUAUUAUCAUUAAUUGCUACGCUUAGCAUUUUAAUCCCAAACUUAGGAUUCUGGACCUACUCAAUUUUACAAGAUUUAUCAUAUUUUUAUUAUAUUUUUCGCAGCACCUUUUCGGUACGCGCUUUUCCAUAGUCAGUAUCAAUUAUGGCACCAGUUCUCAUUAUUUUGACUUGAAACUUGUUUUACAAGUCCUAUAUAUUAUUCUAGUAAUAUUCCCACACUUACUAUAAUUUUCUGGGAUACUUCAUCGGUACGCAUUUAUACCGAGUAGCAGAACCGGUAUCUGCACUUUUCGUCCGAAAAGCGACUUUCAGUAUUAUUACUCCCUUACUAUAAUUAUCUAAGCCUCAUAAUAAUUAUUAGGGUCAAUUAUGGAAUUAUUUCCUAAUUUCACAUAAUUAAUUAAUUAACUUCCUUAAUUAACAGUGUGGGUUCUUACAGGAAGCAGGGGGAAUUCGACAGGUUGGUACAGGGCUCGUUUUCUGUUGAUGAGUACCUGGCCAAGUUUAAUGAGUUGGUUAAGUUCGCUCACUUUCGGAUGGAAAGGCCUACUCCGAUCUUCUUGGCUGCUAAGUUCCGUAGGGGACUUAAUGAGGAUGUUGCUGGUUACCUCGCUGGUUCUGCUUCAAGAGACUUCGGGACACUGGUGUAGCAGUGUCGAGACAUCGAGGACUUCUGCAACUCGAGUAAGGCCAAGAGGGACAAGAUCGCUGAGACGAAGGGAACUAGUAGUUCCACUUCCUGGAGGGACAAGAAGUUUGGGAGCAAAGGCAAGGGAAAUCAAAUGGCGGCUCAGAAAGCGCCAAAUCAGUUUAAAAGGACUUCUGCUCAGGGGAGUGCAACGAGACCUCCCGCUCCCAGAUGCUCGCACUACAAAAAAAUCGGCGUACAGCGACAUCGAUUUAGCUAGCUUUGAAUUGAAUGUGGCAAAUAUAAAAAAAAUAUAAAUAAAAAACAAUCGCUAAUGAAGAAUCUCUUUCUCUCUCUCUUUUUCGUUUCCCUCAUUUUUUUGUAAAAAUAUUACUAACAUUUAUUAAACUCUUGCUUUUUUAAUUUUUUUUUUCUCUCUCUCUCUCGUCUUCAAGGUUCUCGUAAUAAUAGGUACUCUCUUCCUCUUCUCUGCAUCUCUAAAUCUAGGGUUUCUUUUCAGCAAAAUUUGUAUAACCGAUCCAUUAUCAGCUGUGUUUCUCUUAUAGAUUCUCACCUAUCAUUUCAAUUUCAAAAUCAAAAGAAGAAGAGAAGGCAGUGUUGCACCUCUCUUUCUCAUUUUCUCUUCUCUAACUCACACAUCUCAAUCUCAGAGUUCAAAAAGAGAAUUGAAGAUAUUCUUAUAGUAUCAAUGACGAUAAUAGGUUGAAGGAGGAAAUUGAUAGGCUUUUACUCGAGGAGGCUGGCUUUCAGAAUUGAGUCGAUAUUCCUGAGGAUGCACCAGGAAAGAUUUCUUCAAAAUCUUUUCCAAGGAUCCUAACCUUUUAAAUAGAUUCUCUCGAUUCAAUGGCAUAGAGUAAACAACCAAGGGGUGGUGAUUAGCAAGAAGUAUAUCAAAAGGAAGGUCGAACAAGUUGCAUUUGACUAACUUAUUGAAAUGGCUUACAGAAAGAGAUUGGCAAUGCAGAGGAAGCAAAAAUUUAAAAGUUGCAGUUCACUAGGUGUCAAAACAAGUUGCUCUAGCUUUUCUCAAGCGUACUCUUGGAAGAUGUAAAAGAUAUGAAGAAGCUGGCAUUAUUUGUUUUAAUGAACCUACCCUACAAAAUAUCUUGUUCGCACCCCCUUCUACUGAGAAUGAUGCACAAUCUACAAACUGCAUUGUCUCUGGGACAAGCAGUAAUGCAUGUAACAAAUCUUCCCAUCAUCAUGUUGAAGCCAGAAAUGAGUUUCUAGUGCUUCUGAGACAUAUGAUUGCCACAGAGAUUAUGUAGAUAGGGGACUGGUUGAUUCUUUUCAAGGUUCAAUUCACUCAUCAGAACAAGCAUCGUCAAGAAUUUGUCCAUGUUUAUAUUUUGUUUUGUAUUUGAUAGUUACAAAUCAAUAGAAUUGUAACUUAAUUAGUUACUAACGUUGUGAUUAUCAAUUGGAUUUUUCCUCCCUAGUUACUUAAAGUUAUUUUGCUAACAUAUUUAGAAUGGUAUGAAAGUUGAUACCAUUAAUAGCUUAGUUAUUUGAGGACUUUUCCUUUGGUCUAAAUCUUUCCUAAGAAUCCACUUAUGUCAUUUUUAUAUGAAAUAGCAAAGCACUUGUGUGCUUCAGAUGCAAAAUAUUUUAG